rnacentral:rRNA from 1 species
UACGAAGGGGGCUAGCGUUGCUCGGAAUCACUGGGCGUAAAGCGCACGUAGGCGGCUUUUUAAGUCAGGGGUGAAAUCCUGGAGCUCAACUCCAGAACUGCCUUUGAUACUGGGAAGCUUGAGUCCGGGAGAGGUGAGUGGAACUCCGAGUGUAGAGGUGAAAUUCGUAGAUAGUCGCAAGAACACCGGUGGCGAAGGCGGCAUCCUGGACCGGUAUUGACGCUGAUGCGCGAAAGCCAGGGGAGCAAACGGG